AACGCUAGCUACAGGCUUAACACAUGCAAGUCGAGGGGCAUCAGGAAGAAAGCUUGCUUUCUUUGCUGGCGACCGGCGCACGGGUGAGUAACACGUAUCCAACCUGCCCUUUACUCGGGGAUAGCCUUUCGAAAGAAAGAUUAAUACCCGAUGGCAUAAUGAUUCCGCAUGGUUUCAUUAUUAAAGGAUUCCGGUAAAGGAUGGGGAUGCGUUCCAUUAGGUUGUUGGUGAGGUAACGGCUCACCAAGCCUUCGAUGGAUAGGGGUUCUGAGAGGAAGGUCCCCCACAUUGGAACUGAGACACGGUCCAAACUCCUACGGGAGGCAGCAGUGAGGAAUAUUGGUCAAUGGGCGCUAGCCUGAACCAGCCAAGUAGCGUGAAGGAUGAAGGCUCUAUGGGUCGUAAACUUCUUUUAUAUAAGAAUAAAGUGCAGUAUGUAUACUGUUUUGUAUGUAUUAUAUGAAUAAGGAUCGGCUAACUCCGUGCCAGCAGCCGCGGUAAUACGGAGGAUCCGAGCGUUAUCCGGAUUUAUUGGGUUUAAAGGGAGCGUAGGUGGACUGGUAAGUCAGUUGUGAAAGUUUGCGGCUCAACCGUAAAAUUGCAGUUGAUACUGUCAGUCUUGAGUACAGUAGAGGUGGGCGGAAUUCGUGGUGUGGCGGUGAAAUGCUUAGAUAUCACGAAGAACUCCGAUUGCGAAGGCAGCUCACUGGACUGCAACUGACACUGAUGCUCGAAAGUGUGGGUAUCAAACAGGAUUAGAUACCCUGGUAGUCCACACAGUAAACGAUGAAUACUCGCUGUUUGCGAUAUACAGUAAGCGGCCAAGCGAAAGCAUUAAGUAUUCCACCUGGGGAGUACGCCGGCAACGGUGAAACUCAAAGGAAUUGACGGGGGCCCGCACAAGCGGAGGAACAUGUGGUUUAAUUCGAUGAUACGCGAGGAACCUUACCCGGGCUUAAAUUGCAGUGGAAUGAUGUGGAAACAUGUCAGUGAGCAAUCACCGCUGUGAAGGUGCUGCAUGGUUGUCGUCAGCUCGUGCCGUGAGGUGUCGGCUUAAGUGCCAUAACGAGCGCAACCCUUAUCUUUAGUUACUAACAGGUUAUGCUGAGGACUCUAGAGAGACUGCCGUCGUAAGAUGUGAGGAAGGUGGGGAUGACGUCAAAUCAGCACGGCCCUUACGUCCGGGGCUACACACGUGUUACAAUGGGGGGUACAGAAGGCAGCUAGCGGGUGACCGUAUGCUAAUCCCAAAAGCCUCUCUCAGUUCGGAUCGAAGUCUGCAACCCGACUUCGUGAAGCUGGAUUCGCUAGUAAUCGCGCAUCAGCCACGGCGCGGUGAAUACGUUCCCGGGCCUUGUACACACCGCCCGUCAAGCCAUGGGAGCCGGGGGUACCUGAAGUACGUAACCGCAAGGAUCGUCCUAGGGUAAAACUGGAG
rnacentral:rRNA from 1 species